GCGACCCUAGGUCAGGCGGGG
rnacentral:rRNA from 8 species